ACGUAGGGUGCAAGCGUUGUCCGGAAUUAUUGGGCGUAAAGAGCUCGUAGGCGGUUUGUUGCGUCGGCUGUGAAAUCCCGAGGCUCAACCUCGGGUCUGCAGUCGAUACGAGCAAACUAGAGUGUUGCAGGGGAGACUGGAAUUCCUGGUGUAGCGGUGAAAUGCGCAGAUAUCGGGAGGAACACCCGUAGCGAAGGCGGCACUCUGGGCCGGUACUGACGCUGAGGAGCGAAAGCGUGGGGAGCAAACAGGA
rnacentral:rRNA from 1 species